UGGAAGAAACAAAUGUAUCUGUAGCCAGAA
rnacentral:piRNA from 1 species